ACUCAAACUUAUGUUUCCAUUUUUUUAACAAUACUUAUUCAAACCUAUUAUCAACAAUAUUAAAAUUUAAGCGGGAUAAAUAAAUUUAGCGGAAGACUUAACAAAUUUUACUAGAUGCGACACUGAAAUUCCAACAUAAAACACUACCCAAGAACUGGUAUCACAAUACUCAUGAACUUCUAAGAAUAAUACACACAACCGUCUAAAAGAAAUAAAAUACUGUUUGUCUCGAAUAUAUAAGACAACAGACUGAAAAUAAAGAUAAAGAAGACGCUGGGUCCUGCGGACUCCUGUAAGGCUACCUAGGUGUCUCGAUGAUCAAAAGCUAACACCCGCACUACUGCUGCUGCUAUUAUCCAAAACCUGAAUCUGCGCAAAAAGAGCGCAGAGUGUAGUAUCAGCACAACCGACCCCAUGUGCUGGUAAGUGUCCGGCCUAUCCCGGCGAAGUAGUAACAAGGCUAGGACCAGACACUCACAUAUACAUGUACAGUUCAAAUAUAAAUACAACAAAAAUAUCUGGAAGCAUAUAUUAAAUAUCUGGGAAGAGAAAAUAAUGCUCUGGGAUAGCCACAAAAUGUAAUAUAGGUGCAGAAUAAAUGAACUUCAAUUAAUGAGGACGGGUAAAUCAAAAUCUGCACGGCACCAACCGUCGUGCUUUUACUCUUGUUCUCACCAAAUAAUUAAUUAAGACGUACGGCAUCACCCAUCGUACUUUUACUCUCAUUCUUACCAAAUAAUCAAUUAAGAUGUACGGCAUCACCCCAUCGUACUUUUACUCUCACACUCUCAUAUCGAGGCACAGAAAAGACCCAUCGUGCAUAAUCACUCUUCCUUGUCACCGGCAACUUUGGCCAAUAACAACAAUCAUUGUAAUAUAUAUCUCAAGGCACGGAAAGACCCAUCGUGCAUAAUCACUCUUCCUUGUCACCGGCAACUUUGGCCAAUGACAACAAUCAUUGUAAUAUAUAUCUCAAGGCACGGAAAGACCCAUCGUGCAUAAUCACUCUUCUUUUUCACCGACAACUAUGGCCAAUAACAAUAAUCAUUAUAUAUUUUGCCGGAAGAAAACCAAUAAUAAUUAAUCAACUAUAUAUAUAUAUAUAUAUAUUACCGGUAUGAAACCAAUAAUCUUUUAUUUCAACAAUAUAAAUAUUAUCGGUAUGAAACCAAUAAUCAUUUAAAUCAACAAUAUAAAUAUUACCGGUAUGAAACCAAUAAUAAUAAUUCCUUUCGUAUAACAACAUAACAGUAUGAAACCAAUAAUAUUUUAAAUCAACAGUAUAAAUAUUACCGGUAUGAAACCAAUAAUAAUAAUUCCUUUGAGAUAACCAUAACAGAUUAUUAAAAUUAUCAAUUUAAGACUCACGGUCAUACUUGACUCCCAACGUAUAGAUACUCGUCACUAUGCCUAUACAUCGGACUCCACACAUAGCAAUUAGCAAAUAGACUCAACUCAUAUUCCCUCAAGCUAGGAUAGAUCAAACACUUACCUCAAAGGUUUACGGCAAACUCAAUCCUCACAUAGCAAUUAGCAAAUAGACUCAACUCAUAUUCCCUCAAGCUAGGAUAGAUCAAACACUUAUCUCGAAGGUUUACCACAAAUUCAAUCAUUAUGCGAUGCCCUUUCCUUUCGAAUUUGGCUCCAAUUCAAUUGUAUCUAUACACAACUGAUUUAAUAUCAUCAAUACUACUUAACAAAAUAAUCCAAAUGGCUGAAUAUAUAUUUUACAACAUUCUGCCCGGAAUAGUAAAAAUCGACCCCGGGUCCACAUAGUCAAAACACGAGGUUCAACCUAAUUUCCAACAACCCAUUCAUCCACGAGUCUAAAAAGACAAUUUGUUCUUAAGUUCGACCCCAAAACGAGGUCUAAAUCACAAUUUAUUUGAAAACCCUAACUAAACCCAAUUCUCUAAUUUAUUUUUUACCUAUUUUCACAUGUUAAGGACUAAGAAUUUGAUUUAAGUUGAAGAGAAAUGAAGAAAAUGAGUUAACAAUACUUACCCAAGAGGCUUGAUGAAGAAUCGCCCAAGAAUCGCCCAAAAAUGGUGUUGAAGAAGAGAGAGUUUUGAGAAAUGUGAUUUAAUCCCGUUUUGUUCUGUGUUUCAGAACUUAAAAUCACUGGGCGGAACUUUGUUCAUUGCGUUCGCGACAUAGGGUCACGUUCGCGAAGGUUUGAGGUUUUCUAAGCAUUGCGUUCACGAUGUACGUAUGCGAACGCGUAGAGGAAAAAAGGGAGGGGUUCCCAACUGACCUACGCGAACGCGUAGAGAAAAGGGCAGGGGUCCUAUGCGGCUUAUACGCGAAUGCGAAGGACGUCCACGUCCGCGAAGAGAGGGGGUCACUGGGCAUCGCAAAGGCGAGGGGCAUACACGAAAACGAACAAGAGAGGGAAGGCUGGGCAACGCGAACACGAGAUAUGUCGGCGUUCGAAGAAGAAAAUGCAUGUGCAAAAAUUGCAGCAAAUCUGCCAAAUUUUCCAAGUCCAAAACCACCCCGAACCACCUCUAAAACACUCCCGAGCUCUCGGGGCUCCAAACCAAAUAUGCACACUAACUCAAUAACAUCAUACGAACUUGCUCGAGCGAUCAAAUCGCCAAAAUAACAUCAAAAUCAAAGAAUUGAGCCUUAAAUCCCAAAAAAUCUUUCAAUUUUUCAUAAACUUUCAAAUUUUUUUCCAAUUUAAGGCCGAAAAUCAAAAUCCAAGAAUUUAGCCUUAAAUCCCAAGAAAUCGUUCAAUUUUUCAUAAACUUUCAAAUUUUCCAAUUGAAGGACGAAACAUGUCAAACAAUGUCCUUUUUUAACCAAGCUUCAUAGGAAGCGCUUAAACAACAUAUAUGACCUGUACCGGGCGUCUAAACCAAAAUACGAGCCUGAUACCAUUACUUUAUGAUCAAAUUUCAUUUUCAUUUCCUUAAGCAUUUUUAGAACACAAAUUUCCCGGAAAAAUUCUUUUCUCGGGCCUGAGACCUCGAAAUUCAAUUCCGCCCCAAGUCCCAUUUUUUUCUACGGACCUUUCGAGACCGUCAAAUCACGGGUCUGGGUCCGUUUACCAAACAUUUUGACCAAAAUAUACUUUAUCAAUAUUAAUACCAAAAUUCUUCAUAUAAUUCAUAUAUAUCAACAAAAAAAAUUUUCCCGCUUCGCGCCAGGACUGCGCACGCAAAUCGAGACAACUAAUAGUGAGGUUUUCAAGACCUCUCAAGCUCAAAAUUACUAAUAAAACAAGUGAUAACCCGGGUUAUCACACUCUCCACCUCUAAAACAAUCAUUCGUCCUCGAACAGACAAAAGAAAGAAGUACCUGAGUCAGGGAAUAAAUGUGAAUAACGGCUCCGCAUGUCAGACUCGGACUCCAAGGUCAAUGCCUCAGGAGGCUGACACCUCCAAUGAACACGCACAGAGGGAAAACUCUUCGACCUCAACUGCCAAACCUGCCGGUCCAAUAUAGGCAAUGGCUCAUCCUCAUAAGACAGAUCCUUGUCCAAUUGGACUGUGCUGAAAUCUAAUACGUGCGAUGGAUCGCCGUGAUAAUUCCGAAGCAUGGACACAUGAAACAAUGGAUGCACAGCUUAUAAAUUAGGUGGCAAAGCAAGCUUAUAAACCACCCUUCCCACUCGAUCAAUUAUCUCGAAUCGGCUAAUAAACCUAGGGCUAAGCUUGCCCUUCUUACAGAAUUCCCACCAUCGGGAUCGUGAUGGUGCCUACUAAUAGAAGCUAGGCAAGCCAACUCAAACUUAUGUUUCCAUUUUAAAGAAAAAAUACUUAUUCAAACCUGUUAUCAACAAUAUUAAAAAUUAAGCGGAAUAAAUAAGUUUAGCGGAAGACUUAACAAAUUUUACUAGAUGCAAUACUGAAAUUCCAACAUAAAACACUACCCAAGAACUGGUUUCACAAUACUCACGAACUUCUAAGAAUACACAUAACCGUCUGAAAGAAAUAAAAUAAUUUUUGUCUCGAAUAUAUGAGAUAACAUACUGAAAAUAAAGAUAGAGGAUACGCCGGGUCCUGAAGACGCCUGCAAGGCGACCUCGGUGUCUCGAUGAUCAAAUGCUAACACCCGCACUACUGCUGGUGCUGCUCUCCAAAACCUGAACUUGCGCAAAAAGAGCGCAGAGUGUAGUAUCAACACGACCGACCCCAUGUGCUGAUAAGUGCCCGGCCUAUCUCGGCGAAGUAGUGACAAGGAUAGACCAGACACUGACAUAAACCAGUACAGUUCAAAUAUAUAUACAACAAAAAGAACAGGAAGCAUACAUUAAAUAUUUGGGAAGGGAAAACAAUGCUCUAGGGUAGCGACAAAAUGUAAUACAGGUGCAGAAUAAAUGAACUUCAAUUAAUGAGGACGGGUAAAUCAAAAUCUGCACGGCAUCAACCAUCUUCCUUUUACUCUCGUUCUUACCAAAUAAUCAUAUAAGAUGUACAACAUCACUCGUCGUACUUUUACUCUCGUUCUCACCAAAUAAUCAAUUAAGAUGUACGACAUCACCCAUGGUACUUUUACUCUCACACUCUCAUAUCGAGACACGGAAAGACCCAUCAUGCAUAAUCACUCUUCCUUGUCACCGGCAACUAUGGCCAAUAACAAUAAUCAUUGUAAUAUAUAUAUAUAUCAAAACACGAAAAGACUCGCAUUUCAUUAUCAACUCAGUUCACAAUAUGUCACCGACAACUAUGGCAAAUAACAAUAAUCAAUAUCUAUUAAUGAUGCGGCGUGCAUCUCGACCCUUCCGAUAUGUCACCGGCAACUAUGGCCAAUAACCGUAAUCAAUGCAAUAUAUUACCGACAGAAAACCAAUAAUCUUUUAAAUCCUCAAGGCAUGGAAAGACCCAUCGUGCAUAAUCACUCUUCUUUGUCACCGGCAACUAUGGCCAAUAACAAUAAUCAUUAUAUAUUUUACCAGCAGAAAACCAAUAAUAAUUAAUCAACUAUAUUAUAUAUAUAUAUAUAUACACACAUAUAUAUUACCGGUAUGAAAUCAAUAAUUUUUUAUUUCAACAAUAUCAAUAUUACCGGUAGGAAACCAAUAAUCUUUUAAAUAAACAAUAUAAAUAUUACCGGUAUGAAACCAAUAAUAAUAAUUGCUUUCAUAUAACCUUAUAAGAUUCUUAAAAUUUUAUCAAUUUAAGACUCACAGUGAUGCUCGACCCCCGACGUAUAGAUACUCGUCACCAUGCAUAUACGUCGGACUCCACACAUAGCAAUUAGCUUAUAGACUCAACUCUUAUUCCCUCAAGCUAUGAUAGAUCAAACACUUACCUUGAAGGUUUACCGCAAAUUCAAUCCUUAAGUGAUGCCCUUUCUUUUCGAAUUUGUCUCCUAUUUCAUUAUAUCUAUACAAAAUUGAUUUAAUAUCAUCAAUACUACUUAACCAAAUUAUCCAAAUGGCUGAAUAUAUAUUUUACAACUUUCUGCCCGGAAUAGUAAAAAUCGACCGCGGGCCCACAUGGUCAAAACACGAGGUUCAAAAAGAUUUCCGACAAUCCAUUCAUCCACGAGUCAAAAUAUACAAUUUGUUCUUAAGAUCGACCCUAAAACAAGGUCUAAAUCACAAUUUAUUUGAAAACCCUAACUAAACCCAUAUCUCUAAUUUUCUACCUAUUUUCACAUGUUUAGGCCUUAGAAUUUGAUUUAUGUUGAAGAGAAAUGAAGAAAAUAAGUUCAACAAUACUUACCUAAGAGGUUUGAUGAAGAAUCGCCCAAGAAUCGCCCAAAAAUGGUGUUGAAGAAGAGAGAGUUUUGAGAAAUGGGAUUUAAUCCCGUUCUGUUCUGUUUUUCAGAACUUAAAAUCAUUGGGUGGAACUUUAUUCAUCGCGUUUGCAACAUAGGCUCGCGUUUGCGAAGGUUUGAGGUUUUCUGGGCAUCGCGUUCGCGAUGUACGUAUGGGAACGCGUAGAGGAAAAUGGGAGCGGUUUACAACUGGCCUACGCGAACGCGUAGGGAAAAGGGCAGGGGUCUUGUGCGGCUUAUAUGCGAACGCAAAGGACAUCCAAGUCUGCGAAGAGAGGGGGUGUCACUGGGCAUCACGAACGCGAGGGGCGUCCGCGAACACGAAGAAGAGGCUGGGCAUCGCAAACGCGAGGUAUGUCCGCAUUAGCGAAGAAGGAAAUGUCUGUGCAAAAAUUGCGGCAAAUUUGCCAAUUUCCCAAGUCCAAAAACACCCCGAACCACCUCCAAAACGCUCAAGAGCCCUUGGGGCUCCAAACCAAAUAUGCACACUAACUCAAUAACAUCAUACGAACUUGCUCGAUCGAUUAAAUCGCCAAAAUAACAUUAAAAUCCAAGAAUUUAGCGUUAAAUCCCAAGAAAUCUUUCAAUUUUUCAUAAACAUUCAAAUUUCCAAUUUAAGGCCGAAAUAUGUCAAACGACGUCCGUUUUUAACAAAGCUUUACAGCAAGCGCUUAAACAACAUAUAUGACCUGUACCGGGCGUCAGAACCAAAAUACUAGCCCGAUACCAUUACUUUCAGAUCAAAUUUCAUUCUCAUUUCCUUAAGCAUUUUUUGUACACAAAUUUCACGGAAAAAUACUUUUCUCGGGCCUGGGAUCUCGGAAUUUGAUUCCGGGCAUAUGCCCAAGUCCCAUAUUUUUCUGCGGACCUUCCGAGACCGUCAAAUCACGUGUUCUUUUACCAAAAAUGUUGACCAAAGUCAACUUAUCAUUAUAAAUAUCAAAAUUCUUCAAAGUUUUCACUUAAUUCAUAUAUAUCAAGAAAAACAAUUUUCCGGCUUUGCGCCCGGAUUGCGCACGCAAAUCGAGACAUCUAAUAGUGAGCUUUUCAAGACCUCUAAUGUCGAAAUGACUAAUAAAACCAAUUAUGACCCUUUGGGUCGUCACAUUCUCCACCUCUCAAACAAGUGAUGAACCUUCUUACCCUCUCUCUAUCGGUAGGGAGUAUGACAAUGGCAUGCCGAUCUAGAUCAAUAAACCGGGUCUCAUACUGUGUAACUGACAUCGAGCCCUGCUGAAGGCGCUCAAACUGCCUGCGAAGAGCCUCCAUCUGAGUCACUGGGAGAAACUUCUCCAAAAAUAAUCCUGCAAACUGGUCUCAAGUCAAAGAUGGCGACCCUGCUUGUUUGGAUAAAUAGUAGUCUCUCCACCAAGUCUUCGCGGAUCUAGAUAGACGAAAAGUGGCAAUGUCAACACCAUUGGUCUCCACAAUACCCGUAGUCCGGAGGACCUCAUGGCAGCUAUAUAUGAAGUCCUAGGGAUCCUCUGAAUAAGUACCACUGAAUGUAGUGGUAAAGAGUUUGGUGAAUUUGUCCAAUCUCCAUAAAGCAUCGGCGGACAUGGCAGCACCCUCACCAAACUGAGUCACUAUGCCUGGCUGAACUUCCAUAACUGGCUGAACCACUGGAACUUUAACCUGGGGAGCUAGUGGCUCCGAAGUGCCUGUAGCAGUAGUCUGAUUAUCUCCUCCAGCCUGAGAAGUGCUUGGCAAUGCUGGAAGCAAACCCGCUCUAGAAAUACCCUCCGUAAAACCCACUAGAUCAGGUGGGGCCGGAACCUCCUCAGCAUUAAUCUGAGGCUCCGCCACCGGUGCUGCUGCUCGGGGCUGAGAUUUGCCCCUACCUCGGCCUCUAGGAUGACUUCGACCUCGGCCUCUAGGACGACCUCGACCUCGGCCUCUGCCCCUAGCUAGAGCUGCUACUAGGGCCUCGGGAUUUUGAUCAUUAGAUGAGGAAGUGCGUGUUCUUGCCAUCUAUGGAAGAUUAGAGUAGAAAUUUAAUUAGCAUUUGAAGAACAAUUUUGCACGAUAUGAAAGAAUGAAAGUGAAAUUUUCCUAACUCUGUAGCCUCUGGGGGAAAAAUACAGACGUCUCUGUACCGAUCACUUAGACUCUACUAAGUUUGUUCGUGAGUUGUGAGACCUAUGCAGCCUCAGGCUCUGAUACCAACUUGUCACGACCCGAAUUUCCCACCAUCGGGGUCAUGAUGGCGCCUACUAAUAGGAGCUAGGCAAGCCAACUCAAACUUAUGUUUCCAUUUUUUAACAAUUCUUAUUCAAACCUGUUAUCAACAAUAUUAAAAUUUAAGCGGAAUAAAUAAAUUUAGUGGAAGACUUAACAAAUUUUACAAGAUGCGAUACUGAAAUUCCAACGUAAAACACUACCCAAGAACUGGUGUCACAAUACUCACGAACUUCUAAGAAUAAUACACAUAGCCGUCUGAAAGAAAUAAAAUAUUGUUUGUCUCGAAUAUAUGAGAUAGCAUACUGAA
rnacentral:lncRNA from 1 species